GUUUUUUGUUUUUAUUUAGAGAGAGAGAGCACAUGCUUAUACACUUGGUGGGAAGCUGGGCAGAGGGAGAGGAAGAGAGAGAAUCUUAAGCAGGCUCCAUGCCCCACAAGAUCCCAGUGCAGGAGACAAUUUUGUCUUCUAAUUCACUGAGGAAUCAGAGCCAUUUGUCCGGAUCUCUCAGUUUCCCUCUCUGUAUCCCACCGACUUGUUAGCAGCUCCUCACACUUACUGGCUUUCCACGGAAAAAGGGAACAGGCUCUCUCAUCUAUCCCUGGACACAGAGCCCAACUUUUAGGCUCC
rnacentral:lncRNA from 1 species